GAGCAGUGACGGAAAAAAGGGGGAGGAAAAGUUUUACCUGCUCUGCUCCACUCUUCAUAACGUUGACUGCACUCUCCGUUUCCUCCCGUCCCCCCAUUCCGCCCCCAAUCCACCCCACCCCGCCCAUGUUCUUCCCAGUUCCCCAUAAUUUACGGGGCGGAUAGAAUAAUCCUCCGUCCUCCGUCCUCAGAUCUCAUCUCUGCAUAUCUAGGAAGCAUUGAGGCGGGUGGUGGUUGUGGAGGAGUCGAGUCGGCUCAUCCGUUUGUUCUUGUUCUAGGUCUGGUUUGUUGACAUGGAGAGCUACCUCAACGACAAUUUUGGGGGCGUCAAGUCGAAGAACUCGUCGGAGGACGCGCUCCGGCGAUGGCGGAAGCUCUGCAGCGUCGUCAAGAACCCCAAGCGCCGCUUCCGCUUCACCGCCAACCUCUCCAAGCGCUCCGAGGCCGAGGCCAUGAAGAAAACCAACCAGGAGAAAUUGCGGAUUGCUGUUUUGGUUUCAAAAGCUGCACUACAGUUUAUACAGGGAAUCACAUUACGUAGUGAAUAUGUCGUACCUGAUAUGGUAAAGGCAGCAGGUUUUCAGAUUGGUGCUGAUGAGUUGGGAUCUAUUGUCGAAGGCCAUGAUGUGAAGAAGUUGAAAAUGCAUGGUGGCGUGGACGGCAUUGGAAAUAAGCUUUCCACAUCUACAACUAAUGGACUGACUACCACCGAGGAUAGGUUAAAGAGGAGGCAAGAGAUUUAUGGUAUAAAUAAGUUCACUGAAAGCAAGGUCCGGAGUUUUUGGGUAUUUGUAUGGGAAGCGCUUCAAGACACUACAUUGAUAAUUCUCGCGGCUUGUGCCUUCAUAUCUCUAGUUGUUGGCAUUGCCAUGGAAGGAUGGCCAAAAGGUGCCCAUGAUGGCCUUGGAAUUGUCGCAAGCAUCCUGUUAGUUGUGUUUGUCACUGCAACGAGCGACUACAGGCAGUCUUUACAAUUCAAAGAUUUGGAUAAGGAGAAAAAGAAGAUUUCUAUACAAGUGACACGCGAUGGUUUCAGACAGAAGAUUUCUAUUUAUGAUCUUGUUCCUGGUGAUAUCGUGCAUUUAUCAAUUGGGGAUCAAGUCCCUGCUGAUGGGCUUUUUAUAUCUGGAUAUUCCUUAUUGAUCAAUGAAUCAAGUCUGACGGGUGAGAGUGAACCUGUUUGUGUAAAUGCAGAAUACCCUUUUCUUCUGUCUGGGACUAAAGUCCAGGAUGGAUAUUGUAAAAUGUUGGUAACGACCGUUGGCAUGAGAACACAAUGGGGUAAGCUGCUUGCUACACUCAGUGAAGGAGGAGAUGAUGAAACUCCAUUACAGGUCAAACUGAAUGGAGUUGCAACUAUCAUUGGAAAAAUUGGUUUGUUUUUUGCAGUAAUAACAUUUGCAGUGCUGGCUCAAAGCCUUGUUAGUCGGAAAUAUCACGACGGCCUGCUAUUGAGCUGGUCAGGCGAUGAUGCACUGGAGAUGUUGGAAUUUUUUGCUAUUGCAGUCACAAUUGUUGUGGUUGCAGUUCCAGAAGGGCUUCCCUUAGCUGUGACAUUGAGCCUUGCUUUUGCAAUGAAGAAGAUGAUGAAUGAUAAGGCACUAGUCCGCCACCUUGCAGCUUGUGAAACUAUGGGCUCAGCGACAACAAUUUGUAGUGACAAAACUGGAACGCUGACAACCAAUCAUAUGACUGUUGUAAAAGCUUGUAUCUGCAGAAAUGUCGUGGAAGUAAAUAGUUGUGAGAAAGUUGAUGACUUAAGCUCCUAUGUCCCAGAUUCUGCACGUAAAACUCUUUUACAAUCCAUUUUUAAUAACACAGGUGGUGAGGUGGUGACCAACCAGGAUGGAAAGCUUGAAAUCUUGGGAACACCAACAGAGACUGCCUUGUUGGAACUGGGUUUAUCACUGGGUGGGGAUUUUCAGGCACAACGUCAGGAAACUAAGCUUGUUAAAGUUGAGCCCUUUAAUUCCAUAAAGAAGAGAAUGGGGGUGGUGCUCCAACUUUCUGAAGGAGGAUACUGUGCACACUGUAAAGGUGCUUCUGAGAUAAUUUUGGGCGCUUGCGACAAUUAUGUAGAUCCCUCAGGUAAUGUCGUGCCUCUUGAUGAAGCAGCUCUGAAUCUUCUUAAGAGCACAAUUGAUAGUUUUGCUGGCGAAGCUCUUCGAACUCUGUGCCUUGCAUAUAAGGAAAUUGGCGACAAUUUCUCUGCUGAGGAUAAAAUUUCAUUCGAAGGAUAUACAUGUAUUGGAAUUGUAGGAAUCAAGGAUCCUGUCCGUCCGGGUGUCAAGGAGUCUGUUGCAACUUGUAGGGCUGCAGGAAUUACUGUGAGAAUGGUUACAGGAGACAACAUAAAUACAGCAAAAGCAAUUGCUAGGGAAUGUGGUAUUCUCACUGAUGAGGGUGUAGCUAUAGAAGGUCCAGAGUUCCGUGAGAAGAAUCUGGAAGAAUUGAUGGAACUGAUUCCAAAAAUUCAGGUAAUGGCCAGAUCUUCACCAUUAGAUAAGCAUACCUUAGUAAAACACUUGCGGACCAUCUUCAAUGAAGUUGUUGCUGUGACUGGUGAUGGCACAAAUGAUGCUCCUGCACUUCACGAGGCAGAUAUUGGACUUGCAAUGGGCAUUGCAGGAACCGAGGUAGCUAAAGAAAGUGCUGAUGUCAUAAUUCUAGAUGACAAUUUCUCGACAAUUGUGACUGUGGCAAAAUGGGGACGUUCUAUAUACAUUAACAUUCAAAAGUUUGUACAGUUUCAGCUUACGGUUAAUGUGGUCGCUCUAGUUGUUAAUUUCUCCUCAGCCUGCUGGUCAGGAAAUGCUCCACUUACUGCUGUUCAGCUACUUUGGGUGAACAUGAUUAUGGACACCUUAGGAGCAUUAGCAUUAGCCACUGAACCACCACGUGAUGACUUGAUGCAAAGAGCACCAGUUGGAAGGACUGGGAAAUUUAUCAACAACACAAUGUGGAGAAAUAUCCUGGGACAAUCAAUAUACCAAUUCAUCACAAUAUGGUAUCUCCAGACACAGGGAAAAUGGUUAUUUCAGCUUGAUGGCCCUGACACCGAUCUUACUCUUAACACUAUCACAUUCAAUUCGUUUGUUUUCUGUCAGGUGUUCAAUGAGAUAAGCUCUAGAGAGAUGGAGAAGAUAAAUGUAUUCCGGGGCAUCUUGCAGAACUAUGUCUUUCUGGCCGUUCUCAUCAGCACCGUCGUCUUUCAAUUUAUAAUUGUCCAAUUUCUUGGGGACUUUGCAAACACGAUACCACUUACAAUGUCACAGUGGUUUGUAACUGUUUUCCUUGGGUUCUUAGGAAUGCCCAUUGCUGCAGUCGUCAAGUUAUUACCAGUAGGGUCUCUUUAAGGAUCAUGCAGCAGAGGUCAGGUAAACAUGCCUAAAUUGCUUUUUGCUGUUUUUCCAAGUUGCUUCUUUUUGAUCCCCACAUGGAAAGAUCUACAGCAUCAGUUUCUUGGUUUCUAUGACGGGAAGCUACAAGUGGAAGUAAAGCCCCCUCCUUGACAACACUUCCAUUCUUGGAUUUUUCUUUGUUGUGGCACAUUGUUAAAGAUUUUGUUCGAAACUCUUUUAUCAGAAAGAGGAAGAUGACUCAUGUAAGGUUUUACACAUUGGUGGUAUUGGACAUACUUCAUGGAUAUGAUAGAUUGCUGGCUAUGCAGAUUUAACUUAACACUCUCGAUAAUAAAUGAACAUGGAUGGAUGUGGUUAUAUUUCACCUGAUGAUAAAAGAAAGGUACUUUUAAAUGACUAGUGGGACCCCAACCUGGUUGUUAGCCUUUGAUUUGGGUUCCCGCUGGUGGUGCAUGCAAAUACGACAAAGUCGGCCGCAUACUAAAGGGAAGAUACAAGUGGGACAAAUGGAGAUUGGACUCCUCUCUCCCUCUCUCUCGCUUCUCCUUCCGUCUCAUCCAAACCCACCCCAAUCUUCCUCCGAUGGGACCUCCCCCGAUUCCAGCGAUCGCUUCCUCGUCUCAUCUUGCGACAGGGUUCGUCCGCUCUUUCUAUCUAGGACGUGAGGUCGAAUGCUCUACUGGGACGGUUUUCAUCCGAGGAUCGGUGCCCCGUUGCUGCUUCCGCGACGACCUCUCGGUGUUCGCCGCCUGCUCGGAUCGGAAGGUCCGACUAAUUCCUUUGGCUCAGGUCUAGCCUCGCCAAUGGCUGGGAAUUAAAAUCUGGAAUGCACGAAGAAAGCUCCAACGAGAUUCAUCGAAUACUCUUCUUCUUCUUCUUUUGUUUUUUUUCAUCUUCCCAGCUAUUUAUUAGUGGAUAGGCUAAGAAAGUUUAGGAUUUGGAGUCAAUUAAUAUUAGCAGUAAAUUAACAUGGAAUCAGUUAUGUUGUACGCUUUAAAUAACUGACUCUUUCCAACAGUGAAACAUAUUUGAAUCAA